GGUGACAGGUGCUGCAUGGCUGUCGUCAGCUCGUGUCGUGAGGAUGUUGGUUAAGUCCCGCAACGAGCGCAACCCCUAUCUUUAAUUGCCAUCAUUCAGUUGGGCACUUUAGAGAGACUGCCGGUGUUAAGCCGGAGGAAGGUGGGGAUGACGUCAAGUCCUCAUGGCCUUUAUGUCCAGGGCUACACACGUGCUACAAUGGGUGGUACAAAGAGCAGCUAACUCGCGAGAGUAUGCAAAUCUCAAAAAGCCAUCCUCAGUUCGGAUUGGAGUCUGCAACUCGACUCCAUGAAGUUGGAAUCGCUAGUAAUCGCGGAUCAGCAUGCCGCGGUGAAUACGUUCCCGGGCCUU
rnacentral:rRNA from 1 species